CUACGGGAGGCAGCAGUUCAGAAUCUUGCACAAUGGGCGAAAGCCUGAUGCAGCGAUGCCGCGUGUGUGAUGAAGGCCCUAGGGUUGUAAAGCUCUUUCACCGGUGAAGAUAAUGACGGUAACCGGAGAAGAAGCCCCGGCCAACUUCGUGCCAGCAGCCGCGGUAAUACGAAGGGGGCUAGCGUUGUUCGGAAUUACUGGGCGUAAAGCGCACGUAGGCGGAUACUUAAGUCAGGGGUGAAAUCCCGGGGCUCAACCCCGGAACUGCCUUUGAUACUGGGUGUCUAGAGUCCGGAAGAGGUGAGUGGAAUUCCGAGUGUAGAGGUGAAAUUCGUAGAUAUUCGGAGGAACACCAGUGGCGAAGGCGGCUCACUGGUCCGGUACUGACGCUGAGGUGCGAAAGCGUGGGGAGCAAACAGGAUUAGAUACCCGUGUAGUCC
rnacentral:rRNA from 1 species